AUUAUUUCGUAGUACUUGAGCACGAUGAUCGGUGUUCACACUGUUGUGUGACACGUGCCCCCCUCAAACCUUGUUAUGACAUUGGAACAUUACCAUCUGACA
ensembl:snoRNA